rnacentral:lncRNA from 1 species
UCCCUCAGAUAUUAUUAAAACAUCUAGCAAAACAAGAAAAUGGAAGUCAGAAUAGAUGGAUAACUUACAGGACCUAUAGAUAUAGGCAGCGGAAUAAGACAGGGAGACUCAUUGAGUCCUCUGCUUUUCAAUGUAAUCAUGAAUGACAUUAUCAAAAGCGUCAGCAAAAGGAAGGGGAUAAAUAAUGGGAAACAAAGAAGUAAAAAUACUCUGUUACGCAGACGACGCAAUAUUGAUAGCCCAAGAUGAAGCGAGUCUGCAAAGAUUCGUCGAGAGUUUUAACAUAAGAGCAAAAGAAUUCAGUAUUACAACUUUAUCUCAGAAAACUAUAACAAUAGAACCCGUAAACAACCAAUUAGACGUGAAAUAGAUAUUGAUGGCAUCAGUAUUGAACAAGUAAUGGAAAUAAACUACCUUGGAGUUACACUUUCCUGCUUUGGAGACUUAAAUAAAGAAGUGAGAAAUCAAGUAUAAAAACCAAAUAGACUGGCAGGAUACCUUAAUAACACUAUAUCGCACCUUUAAUAAAAAAACGAAAUAACUCAAAAUUCAUGGUUUUCGAGAUUUAAUCAUAAAGUGAAAUAACUAGACGAGAAGAACCUGUUCCGUUUAACAGCCAGGUUAAAAUGAUGAAAAUGCGAGAGAUAAAUGAUUUUCCCGCUCUUUUUUACUAACGCCUUUGCACAAACCGGUACUCGUAAAGUGGUGGAAUUCAGUUAUACUCCGGCUGUGUUUGGAGGUAAGAUAUCCGGUAUUUUCAAAGAAGGUGAUACAAUACGAAACAAUUCUGUGUUUUACUAACGAAGUGGCGUCUUCUAGUCUAGAGCACAAAAAUACUUGGAUUAGUAGCGAAAAAUUCGUCAUUGGAUAAUAAUUCCAUCAAUGAAAAACCCGUUAAUAAUAAAUGUGAAACUACGGAAGAAGUAAGUUUCAAUUUGUAUUACUUUAAUAUAUGUAUAAAUACACAUUUUUUUAUUAUAAA